GGAGGAUUUAUGAGCAGAAGAAGCAUCUCACGGGCAGCUUGGAUUUCCAUCUUCUAUCCCAUGAAAAGGUGGGAUAAUCAUGGCAAAACAGUUGUGCUCUUCUGAAUAUACAAAUGAGAGAUAAGACUGCCAGCUUAUUCUAGAGACAGUAGUGGGGAAUGAAACUACAUUGCCUGGAGAAGAAUCUUCACCAAGGAAAUAGACCAACUUGAACAGGAAACUUCAGACAAAUGGACAACAAUAAAAUAACUUUCAUUUUGGGAAUAAUCUGGAAAAGCUUCUUUAAAACGCAUAAAUUCUGCCAAGUUUGAGAAAAUAAACUCAUAAAAAUCGUGAAACAAUGUAAGGAAUCAAUCAAGGCAUAGCUGAUGCCAAAUCAGCCAACAUCUGCUACAGAAAGCACACACCUCCUCUUACGGCAGACGUUUGUCAUCUCCAGCUUUACACAGCGUGAGAAGACUGGAUAUCAGGGCAUGGCGUAUGGAGUGGCAGAGAAAAAUGGUUUCCUUCUUUAUGUAUGUUAAAAGUGCCUGAGGAGGAAAAGUACAGCUGUAAUAUCUUUGAACAAUUUUUAAUUAUUUAAUCAAAA